UACGUAGGGUGCAAGCGUUAAUCGGAAUUACUGGGCGUAAAACGUGCGCAGGCGGUUUUGUAAGUCUGUCGUGAAAGCCCCGGGCUCAACCUGGGAAUUGCGAUGGAGACUGCAAGGCUUGAAUCUGGCAGAGGGGGGUAGAAUUCCACGUGUAGCAGUGAAAUGCGUAGAGAUGUGGAGGAACACCGAUGGCGAAGGCAGCCCCCUGGGUCAAGAUUGACGCUCAUGCAUGAAAGCGUGGGGAGCAAACAGG
rnacentral:rRNA from 1 species